ensembl:lncRNA
UGAGGCCAGAUAUGAACUCAGAAAGAUGAAUCUUUCUGACUGCAGACCUGCCACUCUAUCCAUUGUGCCCCCUCACUGCCUAGCCUGGGACAUAGGAGGUGCUUAAUAAACAUGGAUGGAUGGAUGGAUGGAUGGAUGGAUGGACUGACUGAACUGCAUUGCUUGUUCUGUAACCUUGAGUAAGUCACUUGCCUUCUUCCUCCUCUAUAAAGUGAAGGCAUUGUGCUCACGGAACUCUAAAGUCCCUUUUAAAAUCCUUUGGCAGGUUCCUUUGAUCCCAUGAUGAACGUUCCUUUCGGGUUUUGUUUUUAAUUCGGGCUUGGGCUAUGAGGUGGAGCGUCUUCUGCCCAGUUUGUCCAGCAGAUGGAGAUGGAGACCCAUUGUGACACCUCCUCCCUGAAGCGGGAAGCGGAUCUCCUAGUCUCCCUCCAGCUGCCUGUUCCCAGGGGUCCUGGGGCUGUUUCCUUGACAGGAGCUGGCAGCGAGUUUCAGCAAACCUCAGCCUUCCCCAAGGAGUGGAGGGAGCGUUUCACACCAGCACAGGAGACCAAGCCCUGAAAGCAGAGCCAGUGUGUCAAGAGUCAGCAUUGUGUUCCUCCGCGGGGAUCCAUCCAGGAACUGUCAGUCUCUUCAAAAGGAAAAACCUGGCUAAGAGCUGGGAGGGAACAGAAGGACAGAAAGAGAUGUGCAGGCUGUCUCAGGCUGUCUCGGCUGUCUGAGCUGUCUGGCUCGCAGCAGGCCCAGUUCUCCCCGUGCAGCUGAACGUCUAGGAUGAGCCAGAGCAGAGGAGAGAUCGACACCAGAGAAAGUCAUCUGCUUUCCCAGAAGAAAUCCACUUCCUGUGGAGGAAGGUCCCACAAGUUAGGUGGGGCAGGCCCAGAGCAGCAGCAGCGUGUGGAGCUUAUUGAUGUUCUUUCUAACCUGUGGCAUCCAGACCUGAACACAGUUCUUCAGAUGGACUCGAAUCAGGAGGACCAAGUGCAGAGGAACUAUCACUUCCCUCUUCUUGGAACCUCUGCUUAUCUUAAUGAAAUCAAAGAUCACUUUGGCUUUUUUGACUUCUACAUCAUAUUUCUGAGACUUAUACUGAGCUUGCUGCUCCACCAAAAACUCCCAGAUCUUCUUCAGACAAAGUACUGUUUAACAAAGCUUCCUUGUGUUAUAGAAUUAUUUUUAAGUCAAAUGUAAGAAUUUACACGUUAACACUAUUAAAUUUCUUCUGAUUAGAUGUGGCCCCAUCCAUGUUCAGGGCUCACUGAACUAACUGGUCUGCUGAUCAGCAUUUAUAUUUUCUCUAACCAAGGAAGUAUUGAACAGCUAAAAGAACAUUAGUUUUAGAGUCAGAGAACCUGGGUUCAAAUCUCACCUCUGAUACUACUUUGUGUGACCUUGAGCAAGUCACUUAAAUUUUUUUAGUUUUGGUCUUCUCAUCUGAAAGACAAAGUGGUUGGAUUAGAUGGUCACUGAAAUCCAUCCUGCUCAAAAUCUAUGAACUUUCUUUAUGAACAAAAGUUUUGGUACAUCCCUUAAAAAAUAGACAAAAGAGGUUGGGUGGGAUUAGGUACUCUCUAAAUCCCUGUCAAUUUUACUGUCUGAGUAAAUAAUGAGAAAGGGGAAACAUCAAUAAUCCAAAAGAGUGGAUAGUCAAAGCCCCAUGCUCACCAUUUCCCCUCUACUUCACCAAAGUGGACAGAAAAAGGACUGUAUACAUACUCAGGAAAGUUAAUUCACUUGAGUCCCACUAAUUUGGAAUUAAUGAAUAUUUGGACAUAGAUCAAUCAUAUUUCACUUUAUACACUAUCUUUGAGAAACAUUUGCUAAGCAAAAUUAAUAGUGUGAAUAAGAUUGUUGAAUGUCAAUCCAUUUAAGAAGUCAGAUUAUUUCCAACCACUUAAAAAAUCCAUUUUGGCACCAACCAUUCAUAUUCAGCUAAAAUCCUGAUUAUGAAUGCCUCCCAUAUUUAUUAAAGGAGAUUCAGUAAGAACUCUCUCUUAACAAUACUUCGUUAUCCAUCAGUUUGUGUUACUGCAUGUACUUGCAAGUAAUAAAACUUAAUGUUUUCACUAAAUGAGACA